rnacentral:rRNA from 1 species
GUGUCAGCCGCCGCGGUAAUACCAGCACCUCGAGUGGUCAGGACGAUUAUUGGGCCUAAAGCAUCGGUAGCUGGUUUUGCAAGUCUCCGGUUAAAUCCACCUGCUUAACAGAUGGGCCGCUGGAGAUACUACAAAACUAGGGAGUGGGAGAGGCAGACGGUAUUCGGGGGGUAGGGGUAAAAUCCUCUGAUCCUUUGAGGACCACCAGUGGCGAAGGCGGUCUGCCAGAACACGUUCGACAGUGAGGGAUGAAAGCUGGGGGAGCAAACCGGAUUAGAUACCCGGGUAGUCCCAGCUGUAAACGAUGCAGACUCGGUGAUGCAUUGGCUUCUUGCCAAUGCAGUGCCGCAGGGAAGCCGUUAAGUCUGCCGCCUGGGAAGUACGGUCGCAAGAUUGAAACUUAAAG